UGAUGUAACAAAAGGACCAAUAGCAGC
rnacentral:piRNA from 1 species